rnacentral:sRNA from 1 species
UGUGUGAAGGGUGGAAUGUUUAUCUCUGUGUGAAGGUUGGAAUGUUUAUCAAUGUGUGAAGGUUGGAAUGUUUAUCAAUGUGUGAAGGGUGGAAUGUUUAUCUCUGUGUGAAGGUUGGAAUGUUUAUCAAUGUGUGAAGGUUGGAAUGUUUAUCAAUCUGUGAAGGGUG